UUCCGUCUGGCAGAACUAAUGCGAAUGAUUUAGGUUCAUUUUAUGGAGAAAGUCUUCGGCGGAUU
rnacentral:tRNA from 1 species